GCGCCCCUUUCUCUUUCGCUUUCAGCGACGCCCCGCCCCUCGAUCCCUCCAACGAAUGCGCCCGAGGGUCGCGCUUUCCUCCGUCUCGUUGGUCGCCUGAGCCUUUGCGGACGCCGUAGUCAGCUGACCUGACUAGGAACCGCUGCAGGCACGGAACUCGGAAUACAGGCGUUUGGGGUGGCCGGGCGCCGCCAUGGCUCCGGACCCCUGGUUGUCGAUGUAUGAAUCCACAUGCCAUACUGCCCAAGAGGUUGCUGAAAAAAUUCAAGAACGCAACCGAUGUCAGAGGAAUGGUGAAAGUACAACUAAGCUCAAUGUUUCCAUCAGGUCACUGUUGCAAAACCUCAAAGAAAAGACUGAGCGUCUGAAGGACCUCUUGCUUCACUCUGUAUCAACCCGUCAGAUAACACAACUGGAAGGGGACAGGCGGCAGAACUUAGUGGAUGACCUCCUCACGCGACAUCGUCAUCUUCAGGCAUCUUUCAAAAAUGAGGGGACAGAACCGGAUGUGAUAAGGUCUAGCCUAAUGGCUGGAGGGGUCAGACAAGGUGUCGUAAACCCAUGGCUUGUGGAGGAGCCUGAGGAAACAAGAGGGCUUGGCUUUCAUGAAAUCCAGCAGCAGCAACAGAGAAUUAUAGAAGAGCAAGAUGCUGGUCUCGAUGCUCUCUCUUCAGUCUUAGCCCGUCAGAAACAGAUGGGGCAGGAAAUUGGGAAUGAGUUAGAGGAACAGAAUGAAAUCAUCGACGAUAUCACCAAUUUAGUAGAAAAUACCGACAACAAGCUGCGCAACCAAACCAAGCGUGUAAUGACAGUGGACAGAAAAUCAUCUUCUUGCGGGAUGGUGGUGGUGAUCGUACUACUGCUGAUUGCGAUAGUCGUCGUUGCUGUGUGGCCCACAAAAUGAUCAAUGGAGCUAUUACUUUGCAGCCAUAGCACUCUGAGGCAAGGAAAAUUCGAUCUCACUACUGACACUUUCUGUGGACUUGGUUGUAUUUGACUCAUUCUCAGUGCACUGGCAAAAGCACAGCUGGUGGAGAAAUUCAUUUUGCAAAAAUCUCUAUCCAGUAGGACUUGAUAUUUUUGAGAAUGUUACUGGUAGGAGGCGAAUCUCCUAACAAACAUCAAAGCAUAAAUGCAAUUAAUUCCAAUUCCACCUGUCCCUACUAGGUGGGAUCUACAGUUAAUCUCUAGAAUGCCAAGCUAAGAUAUUGGAGUUUUCAUUCUAACAUUAUCUUUGAAGCUGAAAUUAAUACACAUUGGUUCUGAAUGUCAGGGCAGUGGAUCUGGUGGUGUUCAAGCAAACUGCUGCUCUGAUCCAUGUUCUGUUGCACAUGGAUAUUUGCACAAACCUUUCAGAUGCACAUAAAUCCUGGAUAAUCUUUGGCUUGAGACAGAACAGUUACUGCUGUUACAUUUAUUUGGACAGGAGCAAAUUGGUAUUGUUUGGAAAAUCAGAUGGUGUUUCUAUCCUAAAAUGCAGAAACUAACACAUUAUGCUGUGCUGUGGUUUUCCUCCUAACUACAUUAAUAGCAGGGAAGAAACAUAAUUAUCUGAAGCUCCAAAAUCUAUAUUUUAGAUGAGAAAUUAAAAUAGAUGAGAGUAGCAAUACAAAAAGUCACUAUUUAAUGUUUGCUCACCUCAUUAUUUUGCUACAUAUGUGCCAACUUGAUUGAUCAAUUUACUACAAUAACAAGACGGAAUAAAACACUUAAUUUCUGUAUUACUCUUUGGGCACAUUAUUAUUUCAUUUUCUGCUUUUCUUUUCUUUCCUUUGUUUUGUUUUCCUGUGGGUCAGGGAAGUUUGAAAUCUAAAGAACUCUAAAGACUGCCUCUGGCUGUCAACCCACCUAAGCUCUGAUAUUUGUUGACUAUAUGAAUUUUAGGAAAUGUUUCUAUGAGAAUAGUAGAUUUUUUAAAAAAGAAAGCUGCAUUAGGACAUGUGUGCCCACAUCCAAACCACUACAGGAAGCAGCUGUGCAAAUCCUUUUAUAAUCGAUACUGUACUUCAGUCUCCAGAGCAUGUUGUUUUGGCCAUGCUACAGUAAAUAGUGAGCCUCUAAUCCACUGUUGGGAAUGGGUGGUAUAUUGCAAAGCUGAGAGAUAACCACCGCAUGACCCACUGGAAGGAGAAGAUGGGUGCAUGUGCAAUCAAUAGCCCUUUUGUUUAAGGCUCCAUAGAGGUGGUUGGUUCUAGAGCUGCCCAGCAUAUGGAUGUUCCCUUACAAUAGCCAAAACCAACAUGGGAACAUAGGAAGCUGCCUUAUACUGAGUCAAAUCAUUGGUCUAUCUCAGGCAUCCCCAAACUCGGCCCUCCAGAUGUUUUGGGACUACAACUCCCAUCAUCCCUAGCUAACAGGACCAGUGGUCAGGGAUUAUGGGAAUUGUAGUCCCAAAACAUCUGGAGGGCCAAGUUCGGGGAUGCCUAGUCUAUCUGGUUCAGUAUUGGCAGCAGCUCUCCAGGCAGGGGACAUUGCCGGUCCUACCUGGAGAGGUUAGGGGUUGAACCUUGGACUUUCUGCUUGCAAUGCUCUUAUCACAGAGCAAGCAAAGAAUCCACAAGGGAGAAUUAUCAUGCACAGUAAUGCAGUGAUUGCAUAAACAUGGCAGACUCUGGUGAGACAUGGUCAGCAAAACUAUGAAUUCCGUUUCUGUUCUUCUGGAAAGUAACAGCACCACUUUCCACUGAAGAUCAUCCAAACAUUUUGUGCCACUUAUUACUGGAGGUUAUCUUUUGAACCUGGGGCUGGCUGAAAGUGGUCUGUUCCAUAGAUGGUUCUCUCCCCCCCCCGGCUCCCCCAUUCUAAGUUGUACUACUAAAGAAAUGAAAGCCAACAAGGAAGUAAAGCAGCUUUUCUAGGAAGAGAUGCAUUCAGCCAGAUCUGUAUUGGAACCCAAGUUGGUUGAACUGUGUGGUACUGAUUAAACGGAGGGAAGAGCAAGAGACAUCACCAGACCCGAGUGCUUCUUCCAUUGCCAGAGUGGUGUGGCUGGUACUCCCCCAUGGCUUCCAGAAGACCUGGUAUGGAAAUCGAGUGCUUCAUUUCUAAAAUGGUGCAUGGAAGUGUCAUCUUUUGAGCAGGAAGCCUAUCCCUAACUUCAGAUUUUGGAGGGGAGUUGCUCAUGGUUCAUUGGUGGUAAAGGACUUAGUCAAGGUAAGCUCUCACUCCAAUUAAUCCAUUGAGCGACAACAGUUGCAGGUUGGUGUUGCCACUGGAAAAUCUAACAGUAUUUCCAAGUUUCCCAGUGGGACCACCUUUACAAGAGCAGAACAUACUUAUUAUCUGUGAUAAUGAGUAACACUACCCAAUUAUUUCUGCUUGGAAAGACUGGUGUCCGGUGUACUUCCUUCCUUGGUUCAAAUAUAUGCAGAAUAAUUGGCUUUCUCAACAUGAAGGGUGUUUGGAAGGUGAAAGAAAAAUGCAGUCGCUUUAGAACGUCACAAAGGCUGUUGUUACAACAGGAGCAAAAUUCGGUACACAUAAAAACAGCUUAUGUUGAUGUGCUUGCUUGAUUCUCCACUUUUGAUUUAGUAUUGUUGUUUUACAUUACUUUUCAAAACCUUAGAGGAAACAGUUGUAAGAAAUAUUUGCUUAUUUUCAGUGGAAGAUACUGUAUUCCCUGAAGCUCACAGAAUCACACUGCUAAGUACGUAAGAGUCUUUCGGGUCAUACCAAAGGCCCAUCCUGUCCAGAAUCUUGAUUUUCACUGUGACCAGUCAGAUGCUUAAGAGAAGCCUACAAGCAGAAUAUGAGCACAGUAAUUAACUCUCACUUGUUUCCCACAGCUCUGGUAUUUAGAGGUAGACUGCCUCUGAUCCUGGAGUUAAUCAGGAUCAGCCGUUCCGAUUAGCAGCAAUCGAUAGCCUUAUAUCAUCCAUGAAUUUGCCUAAUCCCCCUUCAAAGCCAAGUUGAUGGCAACUAGCACAACUUGUUCAUCCUGUUUCAACAGAAGAGAGUGGCAUAAGGAUGUGGAUCUGGACAGCUGGGAACAGAAAGCCAAGAACAGGGACAAUCAAUUUAACACCCCAAUUCUCCUCUCAAGGACAAAGCAAAUGUUGCUUGAACAGCAGUGGUUAACCAAGAGCAAUCUAGAAAUAUGCAUGAAGGACGUCGCUUUGAAAUGACAGACUUGUAAGUUACAUGAUAGAAAUGUUCUUACUGUCCUUUAUGGGGUAACUGAUUUGAUAGAGAGAUGCUGGGGAUGUAACUGCCCAACUGCAUUAUGUUACCUUUGGGAAAUGAGUUGCCUAUACUUCAAACUGGAAGGUCAUUGGGAACUAUCGGAAUCUGUCUGUCAUUGAAGUAACUGGUCUGUUUGUUCUCGGUAGAUGGUCAUGGGUUUAGUUUUAAGAGAAGAGUUGCCCUUACUUGCAUUGCAUUCAGAUUUCAUUUGAUCCUGCCUAUUUUUUUCUGGAGUUGUGACUGAAAUGUGCAUUAGAGAGAAAGAGAGAAGCCAUCCCAUUUUUCCUGAUUGUAAUAAGUCACUUUCAGUUUGGUUAACUACUUUGUUCCAGUCUUUGCUUAACCCUUCAUCACUCUUUCCUGUGACUACAUAUGCGCCUUCCCCAAGCAAAUUGGCAUUUGGGAAUAAUGUAUCCAGCUCUCUUCUGCCUGUGGAGACAAGUCUCUCCCUGUCCAAGUCUCCCUUCUUUUCAUGCUGGGAAUCUUGACCUCUGUGGUCUGUGCUAGUGUCCCACAUUCCAAGUCUAAGUAUGAUGGUAACCGUUUCCAUGUUUCCCUUACCUAGGGAUUUGAGGUUCAAUGAGAACUUUAAAAAAAUAAAUAAAAUGUGAAGGAAGUCAGGGUCUUGUUUGGCUGAAGUCAUGAAAGGUGGCCAUGGUAACAAAAGGCACCCCUUUCAUUUUGAGCAAAAGGUUGGGGGGGGAAUUAAAACCCACCAAGAAUUUUGCCACACUGUUUGGUUUUUUGGCAUGUACUGGGGCCAGCCUGUGAAAAGAAUCUCUCUGCAAUGCAUCCCCACAGAGCAGAGUCCCUACCUUUUAACCCAAUGCUUCUAGCUCAUAAGCAUGCAAGAUGAAUAGACUACCAGUCUACUGCCUUAUCUCCAGUAGCAGCCAAUAAGGGUCUUUAAAAAAAAAUGUCCUGCCUUCCUAGAAGUACUUGUGAUAGUAUACAGAAAUGAAAAGGCAAUCGGGUGACCCAGCGAAAAGUUUACAGGUGUAUGAAUCAAAUCACAAAUGUAGAUGCUGUUAGACUAACCAAAUCAUUUCAAAUCCACAAGCUUUUCAUGGUGAGAAAAACAGCCUCAACCUAAAAUCUCAAUGUUCAGUGUUAGUAAUGCUAGUAGAAACCAUUCACAGCUUUGCUUAAAAUAAAUAUGAAAUAUGCUGUGCACCAAUUACUUUUACUAAAUUUCCUUACAGGCUACAGAAUAUUUAUCCUGAAUAGAUACUAAUACUGUACAAAGGUUGAGGAAACUCAGCUGGAAGACCUGUGUAGUGCUCAUGUAAGUCUCCAAAAGGACUGACCUAGAGCAGGCUCCCCCAAAACUAAGCAACUUCUUCCGGUGUGCUCCCUCUUAAGUCUUGCUGUGGCAUUGAACAGCUUCCUGGGAUGGUCCGUUUUAAGACUCACUUUCAGAUGGGGUUACAUAGUUCCUCCAGGCUUAACCAUGGCCUUUACCACUCUAGGGCUGCAGAACAACUCUCCUUGUUUUGAGAACAAUUUUUCUUUCACACAGAAAAAGUGGGCAAUCAAUCUGUAAAGUUCCUAUGUUGUCAAAAGCACAAUUUUGAUGCGAAAAUUGAAGCUGGCAACUGUUCAGCUCCAUCCUAAGUAGGCUAAGUACUGCUGAAAAGGGAAGUGGCUGUUUGAGAAUUCUUCCUCUGCCAGAUUAGACAACUGAGAAGAGUCACACCCACAGUAAAUGAUGUGACAAGGGGGAAGACCUUAAAUCAUUUUGGAAAGCAGAGCAUUGCUUGAUAUGUGGGAGUAGGGUGAUUGUUGGUUGGAGUGCUUCAAGUUGUUGAAAAUAAAGAGAGCAAGGGGUGUUUAUAGGAGGUUAAAUUCAAAACCCAGUGAAGCUAAACUGAUUUGGAUCUUUGGUGUUCUUUUUUACAAGGUUGUGUUUUUUAAUGUUUUUUUAUUUAUUUCAUAAAAUUCAUACACCCUCAAGUGGCUUACAAAAACAAUAAAGAUGUGGGGGGGAAAUCACGACCAUACUUUAAAGCAUGAAAGUUAAAAUACUAGAAGUUCCAAACUCAAGCAUGUUUGAUCUUCCAGGAGGAACACAAUUCCUGCAAUCUAAAAUCAAGUGAUGUUCCUUAACUCCACAAUUAUACUCUUCCCCUAGGAUAACUCUCAAAAUUAACAUCCCCAUGUGAUUGUCAGGAUCACAAGGUCAGCAUCUACCAGGGUAUUGUGUGAAUAGAGCCAUUAGGAAUUCAUAGGCCAUACCAACAACCGCCAUCUGCCCCACCGUUAACAACAUGGAUAGCAGGUAUAGGAAAAUAAGAUGCACUGGAGUCUGCUUAGUGUGGGAGCUGGCAGUUUCCUAUUAUUCAGUAGGGAGGGGCAGGUGGAGGAAAUUAUGGUUCUGGUCUGGAGGAAAAGGGACAAUGGCUAUUAAUUAACUUUGGAGUGCCAAACUCAAAUGGACUGGAAUGGGGAAUAUACUUUGAUUGGAUGGAGUGGUUGGGGGGAGUGAGGGAGCCAAGGGUUAACUUCUGAAAAGCAAGGUGCUGGGGUUCAAGCCUUCCUGUAAGCUUGGAAGUCUUACUCCUUAAUCCCAGAUAUGUUGGGGCUUGUUCAGGUUGCUCUGCAGUGAAGGAAAUACACUGAGAAAGUUCAGAGGCAAACACUUUUUAUUUCUUCCACAUAAUGAUCUGGUAUCAAAUUCAGGUGGAACUGCAUUUUUGGGUUUGUUUCUUUUUAAGCGAGUCUGGUAUCUGUAUGUGGUGGGUGGUGAAGUUGGCCUUCUAAUCCAUUUGAGUUUGACAUUCCUCUUUAUUGUUUCCUUUGUGAGUGAAAUUGCUUCAUCGAGAAGCUGAGUAUAAUCCAAUCAGUUUCAUUUCCAUCACUUCACUAUUUAGCACCAAGAGAAGUCACUAUAAUUUUAAAUGGCUUCUGACAUCUGGGACCCUACCUGCUCUAGCAAAUAUCAGCAAACCCUAUAUGAAUCUGACCACUAUAAAUAUUUCCCAAACACCCAAGAGUGAUGCAAGAGUGAUGGUUGACAGAUCAAUUUAUGAACAUUUUGGCAUUGACUUUUCUUUUGCUUGAAGAUCACUUGUCUCAAAUAGGGCUGCCAUAUGUCCAGAUUUUCCCAGACAUAUCCGGAAUACCGCAGUUGGCAUUAGCGUCCAAGUGGAAAUUGGGAAAAUCAGGGGACAUAUGGCAUCCAUGUCGCUGCUUUUCCUUUAAAAUAGCGAUUUUGCCCAAGAAGCUCAACAACUUUGGGCAACCCCCCCCCCAAAAAAAACCUCAACAACUUUUCUGUCCGGAUUAUCACUGUUUGAAAUAUGGCAACCCUAGUCUCAAACUGUGAUAAUGUAAGGCGCUGAAUAUUUUGAAUUAUACUUGGAUUAUAUCUCAAGAUGCUGCCACCAACUAACUGCUUUUUUAAAAGCAUACGCUGCACUGUAAUGCAGCCUCCCUGCUUCACCUUGCAGUCCCAGUGUGGCACUGCUGAUUGCAAACCCAAGACACAAAGGUCCGACCCCUGUCAUCUCCAAGUACAGAAGAAAAAGGAUCCUGCCUGAAACCCUGGCUGCGUAGGGCAGCUUCCUAUGUUCAUAGAGACCUGUCCAACUAGUCCACAUCGAAAAAUUACAAGCAACAUUCAGCAACAAUUAUAUGCCUGCUUCUUCGCACCACAACCACAGGCCCACUCUGAUUCUCUACCAGCAAAGCUGUACUGCACAAAAUGAUACAAGGCAGUUUGGCCAUGCUUGGAAGCAGUAGUUUACUGCUAAACCUUAAAGUGUGGUGGGAGGGGGGCUCUGGCUUCAGUUAAAAUGAGGACAACCUAUCCUGAAUUGUAUGCUGGAUUUAGCCUUCUGCCCCCUGCGAGAGUAACACAGACAAUCCUACAGCUGCUGGCACAUCCUUCCACAGCCUGCCAGAGUAGAAAGAGAACAAGUCAGCAUCCGGUUAAAGGAAAGAACUGACAAGCCAGCUGGUUAACAGGGUUGGUAACCUCUCUCAGCAGGGAAGUAGGGAAAAUUCCACCAGGGGCAGCAUCUCUGUUCCAUUCAUGGCUGAGCUUGUGCUGUGAGCUACAAAGCCCCCCUCCCAGUCCAAUGAGCACAAGCAAAGUGGAUUAGACUGAGCCCUGGCACCAGGAAAAAUGCGAUGGGCAAAACGACUGGGAUUGGUAACUGGGGGCAAGUGGAUGAAGCAAGCAGCAGGUGCCCCCUAAGCAGCUCUGCAAGCCUGCUGUGCUCUAGCAAUGUACCCCUGAGGGGGAGAACAAAAUAAAACGAGUCACAGCUUUCACAUUGAUCUUGCUGCUGCCUGGGCCCCCCAUGACACUAGUUUCCGACAUGGUGUGGCGUGUGUCCAGCUCCUCGCUAAAAAUAUCUCAGGCAUGCACCAUUGGGAGUAUAUGAGCAGACGAGGGCAGGGGUCCCCAGGCUGUCAUUGGCUCAUGGCCCUUACUGUGCAAUUAAAAUAAGCAGCAGACUUGGUGUUUGUAAACUCUUCUUUAAAACUCUUGUUUAGAGAAGAGAAUGCCAAGUCAGCCAGGAGUCAUCUUGGAAAUUUUUUUUAAAAAAAUUUCAUGCAUGGCCAAUUUACACUGUCCAAACCUUCGGGGAAAAUAGCUGGACAAUAAGCUGAGCAGAGCUAGGAUACGGCCUAUUUAAACCAGGAACACCUGUGGUGCUGGAAAGACGUCUCCAGAGAAAGGACUGUAUCAAUAAAGAAUAGAAAACAGAAUCCACCAAAUCCUUACCUACUACCCUGUAGGAGUUUGGUUGCCAUUGCCUUGUCAACCUCAGUUCUCCUUACAAGGCUUUUAAAUGAGGUGUUGAGGAUAGAUGUGCGUCCUUUGAGAGUGGACUGGAGUGCGGGGGGCCAAGGCUCUGUUCUUCACUGUGCUGUUAACCAGCCACCAGGUGGCAUUGCAGCACUUCAGGCAGCUGAGAAACUGGCAAGGGUCACAAUCGGGGAGGAGGCACAAACCUCUUGUAUUUCCUCCGCAAUGUUACAAGUUAUGCAUUUAUAAACACUCUUAUAAAGGCUCUUAAUUGCACCUAAAUGUUGUAACGUGGAUGCAGCGCCACACACACAAACCAAGAAAUCUUGCUCACUGUGAAAUUCCCAGACGUAGCAAAACCUUUUAAGUUCUUUAGGAAUUAUUGCUUGGACCCAUUAUAUCUGAUUGCAAUUGCCCAGAGGUUUGACUACAAGACAAUCUCUCCCCACAAAUGCUAGGAGUUGCUUUCUUACUCACAAUAUGUCAGAGACGUAUUGGGGUCAGAGGAAAAAUCAAUAAAUUCACUGAGAGUUCCCCUCGUUCACCUUCCCAUCCCCUCCAGAUGUCCACAGGCCCUGAACAAAUAUGUUUGAUAUGGUCCCUCGUUCUUUGAAAGUAUCUAAGCCUAGACCAGGUCAUUCUAGUUUCAACCCCUCUCUGGAGCAAAGUUUGUCAUUACUGUUAUUAAAAUCUUAUUUUUGAAGUGGGGCUAGAAAGCUUACGGGGUUUACCUGUUACAUCUGAGUUUAAUAUUGAAGAUUUACGAGGUUUAAUCUCUGCUUUUUGUGAAGGGUGUGACCCAUCCAGUCACUUUCCUCCUUCACAAGAUUUCAUUAAUUUCCCCCUCUAUCCAGUUUUAUGGCCACCCUGGCAGGGCACAUUUCCGCACAACGAUACCCAUGCACUACAUAUGGAUGCAGUUACACCCAGAAUUCAGCAUGAAUGAACUGCCACCCCAGAAAACUCCCCUAAAGCUCAGAAAUACAGUUUCACCCUAUUAAUGUUUGGAAGACUAGCUAUUAGAACAGCAUAUGUUUCCUCUCCCUCUUCAGCUCUAUCCUCAUGAGUUUUGGGUUUCUAUGUGGAAUACUUUUUUUUAAAAAAAAGGUCUUUUGAAAACAUAUUUUUUUAUUUUUCCACGUACUGCUGCCAGAGUGCCUUUCAACAAAGAGGAUGACUAACCAGAGUCUCCAUGAAAGAAGGAUUUUUCCAAGGAUGGCUGAAGGUGGCAGGAUGGUGAUAUCACCUUUUGGGAUAGGAACCCCCAGACUCACUCCUCACCCCUGCUCCUUCAAUAAAUAUGACAAUUGAUUGGUGGGAAGGCAGUGGGAAUUGCUAGGUUCCUACUGGUGAUUUGUGAGUCAAAGGGAAGUCCUGUUCGGCUGGUUCUGUUAAGAAUACCAAAUAGGGCCUCAAAUGAUUUAUUAUUUAUUUUUCAUCCAUUUGCUUAGUGACCCUAAUGGGCCAUAUAACCAGAGGCAUCCCUGUUGACCAAGCACCUUGGAAAAAGAAGUGUACAAUAUUUUACAAAUGCAUGGAAGUGAACUAGAUCAAAGUGACUGCCUGCCUGAGACACUGACAUUCCAUCUGCUGUCUGGGGAUGAAGGGGGGGGGGUGCGUGUGUGUCCAGGCAGCGGAGGAGAAGGAGUGGUGUGAACAAUGCAUAAGACUUAAGAGAUUAAACAGUCCAGGAAACUGAAACCAUCUCUUGCAUUUCCCAGUCCAGGUGUGGUGCUGCACAAGCACAGUAAGGUGCAAGGGAAGUUUAUUCCCUUUGGGUGCAAACUCGCCUGAUCAGAAGGUGAUGGUUACCUGGGAGUGUAAAGGUGUCUCUGUGCCCCAUUUGGCCCAAACUUACUGCUGUUGCUUUACCUUCUCCGCAUGCCUAUUUAUGCAUUCACCCACAUCUCCCUCAAGCCCAGACAUCAGACGUGCCCAGUAUGAGAAAUGAGUACAAUCUAGGGAUGAGCAAAUCUCCCUCCCCCCCCCACAUCCCCCCAUUCAAUUUCAUUAUUAUGCUGUGGUUUGGCUCUGCCCAGCAUUUCAUUCUGCCUGCCUUCCGGUUUAACUUGAAGAAUUUCUGGGAUUAAUUUGGUGCAUGUGCAGUUUGCUGCAGUUUUCAGUUUGUAUUUCUUACCCUCGACCCUUUUUUUACAAGUUAGCACCGGGCAUGAGUGCAUAUGUACACUGAUUAAAAUGCAGCACAAAACAGAAUAUUUUUAGAUAGUGAGCUUGUAUAGUGCCCAUUGUAGUUAAGGCACUCUUAAAAUGCAAUUGGGACUUAAUGGUUAUGAAUAAAAUAACAAACUCUAAGCAGUUAUGGAGGGGAGGGAUUCAUUCAGUGAAGAUUUUUAGGGGAAAAUUGUUAACAUUUUUUGCACUUUGAAAGAAAGGAAGCAAAUAAGUAGCCACCUCUUUUCAAAGCCCAUGAAGCAGUGGCUUCAUUACUGGUGUCUCAUGGCAAACCCUGCCUUUUAGUAUUCUGUGGCUAUGCAAUGAGCUACUUAUAAACAUCCCAGAAUGUGGAACAUCUCACAGACUCUCCAAGUCUACCAGCUCAUUUCCCACACACACCCCUAGCCUUCCUGUUGAAGUUAAGCAAAGUCAUUAAUUAAUUCAACUUAGAGGCACACCAAAGCAAUCUUGGUUUGAGCCAAAAUAAAGGUGGUUGAAAUUAAGUACCCUCUGGCAUUAUUCAGCUCCAAAUAUUUGAACAGAAUUAAAUUUGCUUAUGAAUCUUUUUUUUAAGGUAUAAAUAAUAGUAAGAGACAGGAUUUUUCUUUGUUUUGUCUUCCUAAAGACACACUCCCCCUUUUGAGCCAGCAAAUUAAAAUGAUGAUAAAAGCUCUAUAGAAGCUAGUUGUCCAGAUGAUAGCACCCCAAUUUAGCUCACAAGGGAAGUAACCAUGUUCAAUCUAAUUAGGACCUGUUAGGAUAUUCAGAACUGCUAUCAUUCCAUAAAGUUGAAGAAAACAGUCUCCUAAUUGGCUUCCUGCUGGGAAGUCCGCAAAAAAGCCUUUAUUGUCCCUCUGUGUAACCCACUCUGCACUUUCUUUGCAGCUGGACUGUUUUGAACACUAUGCUGCCCUCACCUAAAGGCAUGGCUGCAAGAAACUUUCAUGCUACUAUGGUAGUACAUGAAUGUUACUUGGCGUAUCAGGAGUUUUUCUCACAAUCGUGUGCAAGCUCUCACAUGCCUAUUUGAAUAUCAUAUCAUUUGAUUUUGAAGCACCCCUAUCUGCAAUCUGUUCUAAAAUUCGGGGGGGGGGGGCUUGAAACAUUUAAAUACCUGCAUUUAAAUUUUCCUCCUGUCCUCCAAAAACUGAGAUGCAAUGGGGUAUGGUGCUUGCAUUCUCUAAAGAAUGGAUUCUAGAAGACCCAAAAGAGCAAUUGCACCUGGGCUUAGAUAGUGAGUUGAGAACACAACACCUUACCCUUAAAGGUAAAGGUACCCCUGACCAUUAGGUCCAGUUGCAGACGACUCUAGGGUUGCCUGCUCAUCUCGCUUUACUGGCCGAGGGAGCUGGCAUACAGCUUCUGGGUCAUGUGGCCAGCAUGACUAAGCACUUCUGGCGAACCAGAGCAGCACACGGAAACACUGUUUACCUUCGUGCUGGAGCGGUACCUAUUUAUCUACUUGCACUUUGACUUGCUUUCGAACUGCUAGGUUGGCAGGAGCAGGGACCGAGCAACGGGAGGUCAUCCCAUUGCGGGGAUUUGAACUGCUAACCUUCCGAUCAGCAAGCCCUAGGCUCUGUGGUUUAGACCACAGCGCCACCCGCGUCCCUUCCCUUAGGGCUUAGGCAUUAAUUAAAGUCAACAGGCUCCUGGCACCUCCCCGCCCCCGUUUUACUCAGCUUCAUAAAGAACCUGAGGUGACAUUUCUGACUUCAUGAAGCAUUGCCUUUUACUUUCCUACAGAGAGUAAGGUUAUGUAACAGCAGAGGCAACUUAACAAAACAGAAAGUAACAUCACACCUCAGUGCAAGAGAGGACAGAGAAGGUAGAAAGUACAGAAGUACAAGAUGGCUCUAAGCUAGAUCAGAACUGAGUACUGAGGGGAGGCAGGACUGGCAUCAGAGAUGGGGGUAUUGGGGCACCUUCAGAGGCACACUGCAGUUCCCCCAGGGUUCUUGAUCAUGCUGCUGCUGCUCAGUGCUGUCACUGCCUGUUCACCUGCCCUCUCUGAGUAUGCAAGCAGUAACAAGGGGGAGGAGGAGAUGUAGGAAUAUCCAGCCUUGUGCUUUCCCUCUGGGUCGUUUUGUGGGUUGGGUCCAGAGAGGGGGAGAGUAUGUGAUUGAGCAGUGGAGAUGGAAGGAAGGGUGAUGUGGGCUCUCUCAGGGAGUAGGCCUACUGAAGGCAUCUCCUCUCCCCCCGCUCCAAAAAAAGAGAAAAGGCUAGAGCUGGCAUUGAGAUGUGUGCUGUGCUGUGCUAGAUAUAGCCUCCCAACUCAUGUUUGCUCAUAGCCAUGUGACUCUUCUUUGUAGCCCUGGUUAUGAAUAUUUAUUGUGGAAGAAAGGAAGGAGGGGCUUUCUCAUUUAGGCUUCAGAACACAUUUGCCUUUUUGUAAAAAGCAAGUCGAAACAACAAGCUUUUGCAUUUGACCCUCUCAAUGGGGGACUGGCAAAGAAACUAACAACAGUACUUUUUCACUAAAUGUCACAUACAUGCACAGUCUGCACACUGUCCUUCCAUGGGAAAAGGAUGUGAUAAAUUAUUCAGGGUUUAUCUCUGCAAAUGCAAGUUGGAAUUUUGUUUUGCUGGAGUGGGCAGGUGGCCAUGGCCUGGUGAAGUGGGAGGAGAUUUUGUGUACAAGGAGAGGGCCGUUUUGUUGCUUGCCUGUUAUUUGGUGCAAUCUUGCUCCCAUGAAUUUGCAAUAAGCUGCCUAGAUACAAAGCAAAAUCCCAACACAUCCCCUGAACAGAACAAACUGAGUUAUUGCCAGGAAUUCCCUUGUGGCAAGAAGAAGUUGCGAAGGCAUGCUACCUUGAAUUUAGUUCAGCAUUUGCAAUCACAUCCAAAGUGUGCCUAAAGUUUCAAAUGAGCAGAAUGUGCUGCGGCUGGAAAUUCUGAUUCAGCAAGGAAACCGGGGGGAAGAGGCAGAGGAAUCUUUUCCGGAGACCUCCAGCAAUCAGCAUAGUUCAUCAUGUGCAUACAUGACCAAUAGGCACAACAUCAGUUUAAAGGCUACAUUUUCAGGUUCUGCUAGAAUAUAAACAGACCAUGGCCAGGAUUAGCCUGAGAAUGAGAUUAGGCUGAGACAGGGAUUGAUUUCGUUACCAGUAAAACCAAUAGUAAGGAAGCUAGAAGAAACAAGGGUGAUAUGCACAAGCCUGAGCAGGACUUUCCCAAUCUGGGGAGAAAGAAAUACUGCCUAAGAGCAAACCGUAAGUGCUUCUGCCCCCAAGCAUCUGCAGAUGCAUAAAUAGUGUUAAUGAUGACAAUUACUUUGAACUUCAGACUUCUCAGAUAUGCCCAAUGGUAUAAUAGUUAGACUCAAGUUGUAUAGAUUUUUGUACCACUAUUUAAGCAAAGAAGGUGCAGUCAGCAAGAAUCUGGAUAAAUACUCAGAGGUUAACCAUUGCCUAUUUUUUUCAAGGGAGGGAACUGGUGUCAAAGUGUGUUGUAUAGAACCUCUAACCUAGGCUGCAUAUGCACCGUUCAUUCAAAGCACACACACCCUCCCCCCCCCCCAAAAAAAGAAUCCUAGGAAUGGUAGUUUUUAAGGGUGUUAGGAACUACAGUUCUUUGAGGGGUAAAUACAAUUUCCAGGAUUCUUGAAUCCAGGAAUCAAAUACAUCCUGAUUAUUUCUACAAUGUUCUUAAACAGUAAGCAAAGUUAAACACACGAUACUCUUACGAGUAAGUUGGGCAUGCCUCAGGUACAGAAUUAGUUCCUUUUAGUUCCAGUUCUAUGGUUUUAUGCACAGUUGUACAUAUUUUAACAUGAAUGGUCAAAUGCAGACUAGUUAGGUUUCUCAUCUGUGACCAUCUCUCUGUCCUCAGAUGAAGCAAAGGAUAAUUGAUGGCAUGUUACGUGAUUUCUGACUUUCGCUGGAAACCCAUUGACAAAUCACAUCAGAAAGGAAUGCACAACAACAACAACAACAACAACAACAACUAUAAAGCAGCUUUUUCAAAUUAGCAAACAAGGAAGUUUCUCUUCCUUUUCCCACUUUUCCUGCUUCUUUCGCACUUUUGCUUUUCACUCUAAACAGAAUAUACUGCCAAAAGUGCAAGACCUGCUGCUUUCCGCUGGGACUGGCUUCACUCUGGAUUGAAGUUCCUAAGUGGAACUGACCACAAAGGAGUCUGCAUUCCAUGCUGAUUCAGACAGGCCCUGCUGCCAAACACCUGUGCACUCCCAAUUGUUCAUUGGCAGUUAUGGCUUUACUAGUCCUGCACCUGAUGUCAUAUGCUAUCAUGUGAGUGGCAGAUGGGUGUGGCCAGCCAAAGCAGCCAUGUUUGGCUGGCCUGAUGGGCCUAAUUUGGCCUACAGCAUGAAGGUUUCUCUCCCUUCCCACACAUACAUAUUAGAUAAAAACUUAGAAAAUUAGAUAAAAUAUUAGAUAAAAACCACCAACCAAAUUGCCAGUGAGGCAUUUACCACCAUGUAGUUAGACCGUCAGUGAGUGACAUAAUUGAGUGGCCAUUUGAAGCUCUUUCAGCAAAACCAAACUGUCUACUUGCCACACCACUGCCACACCUUCCCAGUGUUUAUGCCCACCUGCUGCACCCUUUGGCAGGGGCUUCCCAGGACUCCAGAAAUAAAGUGUCCCAAAUCCUGCUUACCACAAAUGCAGGCCCAGACACAUCAAAUCUAGAGAGGCAUUUCAGAAAAUAAAUUGACAUUUCUGACAUAAACAGAGGCAGACGCACACUAACUCUAGGGUGCCCUCGAGGAGGAGGGACGGUAGCUCACCAUAGUCCUUCUUGCAAUACUUCUUCAUGUUGAUCUUCAGUUUCCCUUUGGAUGCCUUGCAGUAUGAAUCGCAGUCUUCAGGGGAGCCGAGGAGGAAGAGACAGAAGAAAACAUUAACAAAACAAAUUAGUCUUAAAAUGAAUGAAAGACUUGGGAAAAGAAGGGAGUGUGUGUGUGUGAGGGGAGAAGCGAACAGUGAAAGCUGUAGCCUGCUAUGAAUAAGCAGCAUGCCUGUGAUAUCCAUCUGCCAGGACCUGAUUGGGUCAUCUAAUGGGGGCAUUCACUGAAAACCUUCCUUUCUAAAGAAAGCAUCUCACAAAAGAAGCUAUCCUCCUCUCCCUUUCCCUCCCCUCCUAUCCCCGCCUGACGAAUUCUUUAAGCUGUCCUCUGCAGGCUGCCAUAACUUGGUUGCCUCCAUGGGAGACCCCAGGGCCUCGCUUAUUGUGCCACCCAGAUCUUUAGAGAGCCACAACCCCCCCCCCCAGUUCUUAAACUGCAAACUGGAGUCUGAUUAAAGCCCACAGAGGCCUCUUUGUCACCCCCUAACCCAGACCUGUGUCAGGCUUUGGCAUUCAUUGCAAAGGGAUUCUGGCUGGGGUCACUCCUCAACAAAAGGGGUCAGGGAGGAAAUUAGCAGCCUAUGAAGCAUUAGCAAAGCCUUUGGCGUCCACUCUACUGGAGUGUGCAAAUAAAAUGCCCCAGUGGGACUGCUUCAUUUCUAUGGGCCUUACUGCUGUGAUACGAUGGAUUUACUCCUCCUGAACAUCAUCCUGUGUUCCAGUGCCACUAAUGUGAUGCUGUGUUGAGUUUUUGGCACUGCCUCCAUCCUGUUUUGGCUGUGCUAGAACUAUUUUCAUGCCACUUUUGAGCAUUGGGAGUGCAGCUUGACCCUGGGCAUGAAAAACUGUUAUUUGCUGUGGCAUUUCUUUCUCACUCUCUCCAGUCUCUGGCAAGGCUGGGCUGCACAUAGCUCAGCCUGCACUAUGUUUCCCAGGUAUGCCAGAGUAUAGUGUUUCUACAGCAAUGUUCCUGCUUAUCCACUUGGUGCACAGAUGGGUCAGGAAUUACACUUUGCUGUUAGGAAAACACAUGAUGACGGGGAACUUGCUUUUCUGCAGUGAUCGAUAAAUAUUAUGGUUCAUUAUAUGUUCAUGCCCCGCUCUUUCUUUAGAAUGCUCAAAUCAGCUAACAUAGGUCACCUACCUAUGACUGAUCAUAUUCACCUCUUGCUUGUCUGCAAGCAGUAUGCUCAAGAACUAGAGGCCCUAUGACCAUAGAGGGGACUAUGCAAUGGAAAUGAGCAACCACAAUAAUAUUAUUUACUGAUAUCCCACCUUCCUAGCCGGAACAGCAUCCUUUAUGGUUAUAAAUCCAUAUAGUAUAAUUAUCUACCUAACUGUGUUGCAAACAGGGUGUACAGAUAAAGGUCAUAAAAAUACUUCAAAAUUUUCAUAUUUAUACUCAUGAGCAAUGGAGGAAGGGAAAAGUCCAGCCCCACCACACAUUCACACCUACAACCUCCCUCUGUGCUUCUUUUCCACCACUGCCUAAUGUAGAGCUUUGCCUACUGAUUAGCAGCAACAAAGGAAAGUAAGACAGGCAGUUUCAACCAAGAGGUGAUAAAAGCAAUUUUGGGUUAGUUUGGGGUUGAAACAAAAGUACUUGUAUAAUAUAUCAAGAUGUAUAAUUGAAUAAUAAGUCAAGCUUUCAUUUAAGUUCUAAAUGGAAUUGUGGUUCAAAAUUCACGUUUUUGUGCAGUCCUUUUUGUUUGCUUCUACCUUUCCCCAAUACCGAAGAAUAUGCACUUUCCGAAGGAAAGUUUGUUUCUUAUUUUUUCUACGUUUUGCCCUCUGCAUGCCAUUUCCUUUGUUGUGACAAUAAAAGUACAUUGUCUCAA